rnacentral:lncRNA from 1 species
UCUCCACGACAGGCUCCACGUGGCAGGCCACAAUGAUGGCCACGAUUCCGCUCCAUUACCCUUCGUAGCAGACCCCUCCUGGCUCCGAACGGCCCACUGACAGACGGUUACAAAACAUCGCCAUCAAUCUGUUGCACCCUCCGUCUAUAAAAAGGGGACCCCGAUACGUUAUUCUCUAAGUUCUAAUUCUUAUCCCAAAACUCUACUAAAAUUUUCGUUCGAGCACUCCAUUCUUGUUGAGGCAGAGAACUGACUUGAACGUCGGAGGAUCUUGCCGGAGCAACCCCAACUCCGGUUUAGACUUCUUUUGCAGGUCUC